AUGUCUCUUAGUAUAGUGGUGUGGAAUGUAAGGUGGCUGAGUAACCCGGCCAGGCGUAGUUCCAUUUGUUUGUUCAUGCAAACCUGUAAUGCAUCAUUGAUCUGCUUUCAAGAAUCUAAGUUGUAGGAGGUAGACGUUCUAGUGGUCAAUCAAACUCUAGGGUCUGGCUUUGAUGGUUUUGAUGCUCUUCCUGCGCAAGGCACUAGAGGAGGGAUUCUGCUGGCUUGGAGAUCGGACCGCUUGAGGAUCUCGAAUGUUCAG
rnacentral:rRNA from 1 species